rnacentral:rRNA from 1 species
UACGAAGGGUGCAAGCGUUGUUCGGAUUUAUUGGGCGUAAAGCGCGCGCAGGCGGAUCAGCAAGUCAGAUGUGAAAUCUCAGGGCUCAACCCUGAAACUGCGUCUGAAACUGCUAGUCUAGAAUAUUGGAGGGGGCAGGGGAAUUUCACGUGUAGGGGUAAAAUCCGUAGAGAUGUGAAGGAACACCGGAGGCGAAGGCGCCUGCCUGGACAAUACUUGACGCUGAGGCGCGAAAGCGUGGGGAGCAAACAGG